rnacentral:rRNA from 1 species
UGGGGAAUAUUGGGCAAUGGGCGAAAGCCUGACCCAGCAACGCCGCGUGAAGUAUGAAGGCCUUCGGGUCGUAAAGCUCUGUCCUAUGGGAAGAAAAGGACGGUACCAUAGAAGGAAGCCCCGGCUAAAUACGUGCCAGCAGCCGCGGUAAUACGUAGGUCCCGAGCGUUGUCCGGAUUUAUUGGGCGUAAAGCGAGCGCAGGCGGUUAGAAAAGUCUGAAGUGAAAGGCAGUGGCUCAACCAUUGUAGGCUUUGGAAACUGUUUAACUUGAGUGCAGAAGGGGAGAGUGGAAUUCCAUGUGUAGCGGUGAAAUGCGUAGAUAUAUGGAGGAACACCGGUGGCGAAAGCGGCUCUCUGGUCUGUAACUGACGCUGAGGCUCGAAAGCGUGGGGAGCGAACAGG